rnacentral:rRNA from 1 species
GACGAACGCUGGCGGCGUGCUUAACACAUGCAAGUCGAACGGAAAGGCCCUGCUUUUGUGGGGUGCUCGAGUGGCGAACGGGUGAGUAACACGUGAGUAACCUGCCCUUGACUUUGGGAUAACUUCAGGAAACUGGGGCUAAUACCGGAUAGGAGCUCCUGCUGCAUGGUGGGGGUUGGAAAGUUUCGGCGGUUGGGGAUGGACUCGCGGCUUAUCCGCUUGUUGGUGGGGUAGUGGCUUACCAAGGCUUUGACGGGUAGCCGGCCUGAGAGGGUGACCGGCCACAUUGGGACUGAGAGACGGCGCAGACUCCUACGGGAGGCAGCAGUGGAGAAUAUUGCACAAUGGGCGGAAGCCUGAUGCAGCAACGCCGCGUGCGGGAUGACGGCCUUCGGGUUGUAAACCGCUGUCGCCGGUGACGAAGCGUGAGUGACGGUAAUGGGUAAAGAAGCACCGGCUAACUACGUG